rnacentral:rRNA from 1 species
GACGAACGCUGGCGGCGUGCUUAACACAUGCAAGUCGAACGAUGAACCCGGAGCUUGCUCCGGCGGAUUAGUGGCGAACGGGUGAGUAACACGUGAGUAACCUGCCCUUGCCUCUGGGAUAACUGCUAGAAAUGGUAGCUAAUACCGGAUACGACCCUCGGUGGCAUCACCAGGGGGUGGAAAGAAUUUCGGUCAAGGAUGGACUCGCGGCCUACCGGCUAGUUGGUUAGGUAACGGCUCACCAAGGCGACGACGGGUAGCCGGCCUGAGAGGGUGACCGGCCAAACUGGAACUGAGACACGGCCCAGACUACUACGGGAGCCAGCAGUCGGUAAUAUUGCACAAUGGGCGCAAGCCUGAUGCAGCAGCGCCGCGUGUGGGAUGACGGACUUCGGGUUGUAAACCUCUUUUAGUAGGGAAGAAGCGAAAGUGACGGUACCUGCAGAAAAAGCACCGGCUAACUACGUGCCAGCCGCCGCCGUAA